rnacentral:rRNA from 1 species
GAUGAACGCUGGCGGCGUGCCUAAUACAUGCAAGUCGAGCGAACGGACGAGAAGCUUGCUUCUCUGAUGUUAGCGGCGGACGGGUGAGUAACACGUGGAUAACCUACCUAUAAGACUGGGAUAACUUCGGGAAACCGGAGCUAAUACCGGAUAAUAUUUUGAACCGCAUGGUUCAAAAGUGAAAGACGGUCUUGCUGUCACUUAUAGAUGGAUCCGCGCUGCAUUAGCUAGUUGGUAAGGUAACGGCUUACCAAGGCAACGAUGCAUAGCCGACCUGAGAGGGUGAUCGGCCACACUGGAACUGAGACACGGUCCAGACUCCUACGGGAGGCAGCAGUAGGGAAUCUUCCGCAAUGGGCGAAAGCCUGACGGAGCAACGCCGCGUGAGUGAUGAAGGUCUUCGGAUCGUAAAACUCUGUUAUUAGGGAAGAACAUAUGUGUAAGUAACUGGGCACAUCUUGACGGUACCUAAUCAGAAAGCCACGGCUAACUACGUG